UUGCAGGAACGCCUUAAUGCUACGGGA
rnacentral:piRNA from 1 species